UGGUCAAGUUAUUAAGGGUGCAGGGCGGAUGCCUUGGCACUAGGAGCCGAUGAAGGACGUGAUAAGCUGCGAUAAGCUUCGGGGAGUUGCACGUAAACUUUGAUCCGAAGAUUUCCGAAUGAGGAAACUCACUUAGAGUAAUGUCUAAGUAUCAUUAAGUGAAUACAUAGCUUAAUGAGGGGAACUCAGGGAACUGAAACAUCUAAGUACCUGAAGGAAUAGAAAGAAAUUCGAUUCCGUAAGUAGCGGCGAGCGAACGCGGAUUAGCCCAAAC
rnacentral:rRNA from 1 species